GAGGUGCGAAGGCGAUCAGAUACCGCCCUAGUUCUAACCAUAAACGAUGCCAGCCAGCGAUCCGGCUGCGUUCCUCAAAUGACGCGCCGGGCAGCUUCCGGGAAACCAAAGCUUUUGGGUUCCGGGGGAAGUAUGGUUGCAAAGCUCGAACUUAAAGGAAUUGACGGAAGGGCACACAAGGGAUGGAUCCUGCGGCUUAAUUUGACUCAACACGGGGAAACUCACCCUUACCGGACGCAGGAAGGAUUGACAGAUCAAGAGCUCUUUCUUGAUUCUGCGGGUAGUGGUGCACGGCCGUUCUUANUUGGUGGAGUGAUUUGUCUGCUUAAUUGCGUCAACGAACGAGA
rnacentral:rRNA from 1 species